CCUACGGGAGGCAGCAGUGGGGAAUAUUGCACAAUGGGCGAAAGCCUGAUCCAGCAACGCCGCGUGAAGGAAGACGGGUUUCUGCUCGUAAACUUCUAUCAACAGGGACGAAAGACAUGACGGUACCUGAAUAAGACACCCCGGCUAACUACGUGCCAGCAGCCGCGGUAAUACGGAGGGGGCAAGCGUUAUCCGGAAUUACUGGGUGUAAGGGGUGAGUAGGCGGGAUGGUAAGCCAGAUGUGAAAGCCUUGGGCUUAACACUAGGAUUGCAUUUGGAACUAUCAAGCUAGAGUACAGGAGAGGAAAGCGGAAUUCGUAGUGUAGCGGUGAAAUGCGUAGAUAUUAGGAAGAACACCAGUGGCGAAGGCGGCUUUCUGGACUGAAACUGACGCUGAGGCACGAAAGCGUGGGGAGCGAACAGGAUUAGAUACCCGUGUAGUC
rnacentral:rRNA from 1 species